rnacentral:tRNA from 1 species
UCGAUAGCUCAAUAGGUAGAGCGUUUGGCUGUUAACCAAACGGUUGUUGGUUCGAAUCCGACUCGA